rnacentral:rRNA from 1 species
CGUUCCCGGGCCUUGUACACACCGCCCGUCACACCAUGGGAGUUGGUUUUACCUGAAGUAGGUAGUUUAACCGCAAGGAGAACGCUUACCACGGUAUGGUUCAUGACUGGGGUG